UACGGAGGAUGCAAGCGUUAUCCGGAUUCAUUGGGUUUAAAGGGUGCGCAGGUGGGCUUGUAAGUCAGUGGUGAAAUGCUGCCGCUUAACGGUAGAAUUGCCAUUGAUACUGCAAGUCUUGAAUAUAGUUGAGGUAGGCGGAAUGUGUUGUGUAGCGGUGAAAUGCAUAGAUAUGACACAGAACACCGAUUGCGAAGGCAGCUUACUAAGCUAUUAUUGACGCUGAGGCACGAAAGCGUGGGGAUCGAACAGGAUUAGAUACCCUGGUAGUCCACGCCGUAAACGAUGAUCACUCGCUGUUUGCGAUACACAGUAAGCGGCUGAGCGAAAGCAUUAAGUGAUCCACCUGGGGAGUACGAUCGCAAGGUUGAAACUCAAAGGAAUUGACGGGGGCCCGCACAAGCGGAGGAACAUGUGGUUUAAUUCGAUGAUACGCGAGGAACCUUACCUGGGCUUAAAUGUAGGAUGCAUGAGGUGGAAACACUUCUUUUCUUCGGAACUUCUUACAAGGUGCUGCAUGGUUGUCGUCAGCUCGUGCCGUGAGGUGUCGGGUUAAGUCCCAUAACGAGCGCAACCCUUACCGUUAGUUGCCAUCAGGUAAUGCUGGGGACUCUAGCGGGACUGCCACCGUAAGGUGAGAGGAAGGUGGGGAUGACGUCAAAUCAGCACGGCCCUUAUGUCCAGGGCUACACACGUGUUACAAUGGUCGGUACAAAGGGCAGCUACACUGCGAAGUGAUGCUAAUCCCAAAAGCCGAUCCCAGUUCGGAUUGGAGUCUGCAACCCGACUCCAUGAAGUUGGAUUCGCUAGUAAUCGCGCAUCAGCCAUGGCGCGGUGAAUACGUUCCCGGGCCU
rnacentral:rRNA from 1 species